AAAUCAUCUUAGAUUCUGAAAGUCAAAUUUGAGUCUUUAGUUGGAGUACUCCUGCCAUGCUACUGGUGAACUGAAACUAAAAAUGGGCACUUCAGAGCGGGAAAAGAAAAUAAAGAUUCUUCUAAUGUUAUGUUGUAGACUUCCAAGGGAAAAGAGAUCCAAACAAAAGAGGAGGCCAAGAGCAGAUGCGGGUGGACAAGAACUCAGGAUGGGUUUUAGUGGCGCAACAUGGGAGGCU